rnacentral:rRNA from 1 species
GAUGAACGCUAGCGGCAGGCCUAAUACAUGCAAGUCGAACGAUAGUAUUAAGCUUGCUUAAUAUGAAAGUGGCGCACGGGUGCGUAACGCGUAUGAAACCUACCUUAAUCAGGGGGAUAGCCUUUCGAAAGAAAGAUUAAUACCGCAUAAUAUCACGAUGGGGCAUCCUGUUGUGAUCAAAUAUUUAUAGGAUUAAGAUGGUCAUGCGUGACAUUAGCUAGUUGGAGAGGUAAUGGCUCACCAAGGCGACGAUGUCUAGGGGAUCUGAGAGGAUGGCCCCCCACACUGGUACUGAGACACGGACCAGACUCCUACGGGAGGCAGCAGUAAGGAAUAUUGGUCAAUGGACGAAAGUCUGAACCAGCCAUGCCGCGUGCAGGAAGACGGCCCUACGGGUUGUAAACUGCUUUUAUUCGGGAAUAAAUCUUUCUACGUGUAGGGAGUUGAAUGUACUGAAAGAAUAAGGAUCGGCUAACUCCGUGCCAGCAG